rnacentral:rRNA from 1 species
AACGAACGCUGGCGGCAUGCCUAACACAUGCAAGUCGAACGAGACCUUCGGGUCUAGUGGCGCACGGGUGCGUAACGCGUGGGAAUCUGCCCUUCGGUUGGGAAUAACUGAGAGAAAUUUCAGCUAAUACCUUAUGAUGUCUUCGGACCAAAGAUUUAUCGCCGAGGGAUGAGCCCGCGUAGGAUUAGGUAGUUGGUGGGGUAAUGGCCUACCAAGCCGACGAUCCUUAGCUGGUCUGAGAGGAUGAUCAGCCACACUGGGACUGAGACACGGCCCAGACUCCUACGGGAGGCAGCAGUGGGGAAUAUUGGACAAUGGGCGAAAGCCUGAUCCAGCAAUGCCGCGUGAGUGAUGAAGGCCUUAGGGUUGUAAAGCUCUUUUACCCGGGAUGAUAAUGACAGUACCGGGAGAAUAAGCUCCGGCUAACUCCGUG